rnacentral:misc_RNA from 1 species
CGAUGCUAGUGUCACACGCUCAGAAACAGUAAUUAAGUAGACGAAACAUCCUGCAUGCCACAGCUAUCGAAAUAAUAACAAAACAGUAACUGAACAGCCACCUCUGAUAUACAUCCGACUAUAACCCCUCCAAAGGGAUUAAAACCUUAAUAUAAAAACGCUCCUAAAUUAGCGCUCAACACCUUAUUCUAUUGUAACACUUUGAACAGUCACUCUGUUGGAUUUAUAUAAUAAAAUUUCCAUCAUCUUAUACGAAGUUCAAUUUCUUCACCUUAUUCGUGAAACGUUUGAACUGCGGCGCGAGGAGAUCACCGGCGAUCUAUCGGUUUCGUGAUUUCUUGUGUCUCCGACAUGACAAAAUUGGCGAUCCUGCCAGGAUCCAUUCAUCGCAUCAAGAGGAAACUUCAACGGGAACUCUACGGAUUCUACAGCGGAGGACCACGGUCACCUCCUUGAUCAAAAGGAGGAUCUACAAAGAAUUUCGGAAGGCGACCAUAGCAUGGAUAAUUCUAACUCUCGAAUACAUUCGAAGCGAUCUAGUAGUAAGACCACUAAAUUAUGCCAACGUUUUCUUAGAACACAUAGAUGAUUGUUAUCUGUAUAACGAACAAGUAGAUAUCACCCUUAUAUUGGACCUUAGCGAAUCAAUCGACCAAACCAAUAGGUUACAACAUGUAA